AUAAUUACACAGUUAUAUCUUUCAGACAAAGUGAAAAUAAAAUCCUGAAAAAAAACAUAGCUAAUAAACAUUUAUUUGAUGGUAAGUCUCUGAAUUGAGUAUGGCAGGCUUUGUGAGAGCCAUGUUUUCCGCUACCUUUUACUUACUGAUCCUAACCAGCUAUAGACGAACUUCUGAAAAAGUAUUCAAAAGAUAAUGUGUAUUCAUGGUAAACAUAAUUUAAAAAUUAAAGGAGAAUAAAACCUAAAAUGCAAAAUGUCUACUACUGAACUCCUCCUUUAUUCUAGAAUCUCCUACAAAGACAUACAUUUAUGUACUUUCCUCGCAUAUAUUUAGAAUUGAUACUAUAUAUACAUAAAUCUUUUGCUUUAUACAAAUAACUCUGCUUGACCAUAUUGUUUGCAAGAAAUAUAUAGUUUAACCAUAUGCCCAGUAUCAGUACAUAUAGAUUCUUACAUAUUCUUUUAAAUGGAUUUAUGUUAUUCCACUAUAUUCAUACAUUAAAAUUGAUGUAAUCAUUCACUUAGAAAUGGACCUUUCAUUUACCUACAGUUUUUUUAUUACUUUAAUGAUGAAACAAAAAACCUUGAACAAAUAAAUCACUGUAAAUUAUUGGAGUAUAUUAGUAAGAUCUGUUUUAGAAAUAAAAUUGUUAGCAAAUAUUGAUCAUAAAAAAUAAAUUCAUUAAGGAUGUCUACAAAUCAGAUUCCUCAAUCCAGUGUCUGAAAAUGUAUACAAUUGAUAGACAAAAAAUAAUAAAUGCAAAUAAAGAAGAAAUGAGUUCUUAUAAAUAUUGAUGUUAUGGAUUAAAUGUUUGUAUCUCCUACCCAAAUUCAUACAUCAAAGAUCUAAACAACAGGGUGGCUAUAUUUGGAGAUGGAGCCUUUAAGGAAGUAAUUAAGGUUAAAUAAGGUCCUGUUCCAGUAGGACUAGCAUUCUUCUAAGAAGGGACAUUAGAAAACUCACUUGCUCUCUCUCUUCAUGCACACAACAAGGGAAAGGGCACAUAAGGACAUGUGAGAAGGUGGCUCAGAGAAGUCAGAAAGAUUGCCUGCAUCAGAAACUAACCAGCCAAUGGUUUGAUCUCAGACUUCUAGCCUUUAGAACCAUGGGAAAAUUUAUUUCUGUUGUUCAAACCACCUACCAUCAGUAUUUUGCUAUGGGCAGCCCAAGCAGAUGAAGACGAUUGAUAUUGUUGUCACAAUUUUUUCUAUCAAUUAGAUUGAAUAAUUACCUAAAUCAAAAUUGCUGAUGAUAAUCCAGAAACACUAUUAUACCUUCAAACUGGCUAGAUAUAACUUAACAGCCAAUUCAGUAAAAACUACACAUAUGAUAUACAAAUAUCAUAUAUAUGUAUAUCUAUGUAUACAUAUAUAUGUAUAAUGUCUAUAUAUGUAUCAUGUCUAUACCCACAUACAAAGAUAACAUAAAUGGUAGAAAACAAAUCUAUGUUUCAGGAAAUGUAAUUCACAACAUAUGAUUCAUUUUCUUUCUGAGAAAACAUUUGUCUUUUGACCAAAAUCUUCAUAUUCAAAAGUAUUUAUAAAAAACUCAGAAAUGACAGAGUUCCCAUUGUAGCUCAGCAGGUAAAGAACUUGACUAGCAUCCAUGAGGAUGCGGACUUGAUCCCUGGCCUUGUUCAGUGGGUUAAGGAUCCUGCAUUGCUGUAAACUGGGGCAUAAGUUGCAGAUGCAGCUAGGAUCCCAUACUGCUUUGACUGGGAUGUAGGCCAGCAGCUGCAACUCUGAUUUGAUACCUAGCCUGGGGAAGAAAGCUCUGAUUUGACCCCUAGUCUUUCUUUAAAAAAUGAAAAAAAAAAAAACCUAAGAAAUGAGUUUUUUCAAAAUUUGAAAUAUAAUAAUUGAAAAUAACACCAUAGAAUAAAGGAAGAAUCAUUGAAUGCAUAUAUUUCUAUAGUCAAUCAAUCGCUAUUUCAUUGAAUUCUAUUGAAAAGAAAGUUAUUAUUUCAGUAUCUGUAUAGAAAUCAUUGCUUACACAACACUUAACAUUUUGGAAGUAAAUUUCAUGUAUCUAUUUAUUAUAUCUCUAUGAUUCUACAUCCCUCCCAAAUAAUAAUCACAUGUUGGGAGAAAGAUGAUAGAAGUAUUAUUAUUGAAACUUUACAGAUGUGGAGACUCAAGUUCACAGAAAUUAGCAUAAAGACAUGAACCAAGAUUUAAUGAGUAUCAAAGCUAGUAUUCUUUCAUUUGCAAUGCACUCUGUCCUUUCAUACACCUUUAUAUACGUGUUCAACACACUUUAAUACAUGUCCAUUCUAUGUUAACACUAUGUGAGAAACUGAGGGAAGAACACAGUGGUGUGGCAUCAGACAAGUAAAUGGAUAAGCAGGGUAAUUAAUGCUCUGAUAGGAGUAGGCCCUGGGAGCAUGAUAAUAGACAGCUGAUAGUCUGGAGAAUAUCACAGAAGGUUCCCAGAGAAGGUGAUUCUAGGACUACUAUUAAAGUAGACAUGAGAAUUAUCCAGAUAAACAAGGACCAUUUUAGAUAAGGACCAUUUUAGCCUUCAAUUUUCAGUAAUAUAGAAAAUGUUGGGGAACUUCCCAUCAUUGCUCAGUGGUUAACCAACCUGACCAGCAUUCAUGAGGAUGCGGGUUCGAUCCCUGGCCUCACACAGUGAAUUGAGGAUCCUGUGUUGCUGUGGCUGUGGUAUAGGCCAGCAGGUACAGCUCCGAUUGGACCCCUAGCCUGGGAACCUCCAUAUACCACAGGUGCGGCCCUAGAAAGACAAAAGACAAUAGACAAAAAAAAAAAAAGAAAAAGAAAAGAAAAUGUCGGCUAGCUUGCUGCUCCAAAGCCCUCCUCUCCAUGAGAAGGUAAGUGUAUAGCUAAAUAGUUGUGCUUGCAUAUUAACUACAUUAAUAUUGACAUACUUGCAUUUAUGUUAACUUCUAUAUCUAUAUACACAUAUGUAUAUACAUUUGAAUCCAUUUCUAAAUCCAUAAAUACUGAGAUCCGGGAGUUCACACCCUACUUUGAAUCACAUCACAGAGUUUAUUCUAGGUUUGUCCCUUUCCAUAAUUGUAACUUUCUUCUCUGAGAGUGACAAACUGAGGUCCCAUUAAUUCUUAAUUUAUUAACACGUUGGAUUCAUCCUCUGUACUAGCCAACCUUUCGUUACCAUAGCUGCACAGCCCCUCUGUGGACACUUUGGUUAUCAACUCUUGCACCAGGAUCAACACCAUCUUCACUGCAUUCAGGUUUUAAUACACCAUACUAAUUUACCCCACAGUCUACCUGGGCUCUUGAAGCAAGCCAUCCCUCCACAGGGGUGUCUCACACAAGACCUCCCCACCCCUCCACAGGGCUGACUGCCUCAUUCAGCUUCCCCUCAACAUCCUUCACCAAGCCACCACAACACACUUGCAGGUGAGUUCACACCUGGCUGCUCACUGCACUACCCCUACCCCCUAACCUUCCCCAAAGAGCUAAGAACUGAAUUAUUCAGGAAGAGAAAGAGGGCGGGAAAGGGGAGAAGAAAGGGGAAGAGAGAGUCACAAAUCAUAAGAACACAGCUUUCUCUUUUUCCCACUGCAAAAUCAAAAGCAGUGAUUCUCAAAAAGGAAACACCACAGAUUUUGUGGUUUGAAAUGCAUAGCCAAUAUAUAAUUCGGUAUUUGGAAUAGGAAACAAAUGUAUUGUUUUCAUAAUACAAGCUACUCAUAAUAAGCCAUGCAAAAUCUUUGUGGAUAAAGAUAGGAUCCUGUGGUGAGGGGAAAAGGAAGUAAGAUUUUGUAUUUAUCGAAAUGAAGCAUAGGUUUAAAAAUAUUGCUGUAGAGGACAGGCAUUUGGGAUUUAAGGAAUACCAGUUAUAUUGGCUUUAUUCUAGUCAAUAUUUAUUAGCAUUGCAGGAUAUAAGAUAGAAGACACUCAAAUAAUUCAACACCAGGAAAUCCUUAGUUCCCUUAAAUUCUAGUUCAUUAUAUGUAUAUAUAAUGUUGAAUAAUAUUAUGCCUGACAUUUAAUAUCACUAUAUAUGAUAUUUAAUAUCUUUUAUAUGUGAUGUUUAAUAUCAUUAUAUAUAGUGGUUAAUACCAUUAUGUAUAGAAUGUUUAAUAUCAUAAAACCUCCUUUAUAAUGAAGGUAUUAGGACACUUGCAUGAAAAUCUGUGAUUGGCUAACUAGAGAAUCAUUUUCUUGUUACUGUUUUAUUUUUUAUUGCAUAUAAAAUAUUCGAUCAAAUCAGAAAAAGUGGGAAGCUAUAAUGUCUCCAUUAUUAAUGUGGUUCUUAUAAUGGAGUAAUGUGAUGAAGGGUUAAUUCUGUAUAUUAUUUUCACUUCUCCUCCUUUUGGGCCACUUGAUCAUGGCUAUUUCCAUACCUAUAAAAAACUACUACAGAAAGGCCACAUUAUAAUGUCCUGCUUCAAUCAAGAAAUAAUUUUAAAAACACUUUAAGAGCUACAAAAUGACUUUUGAAUCAUCAAUUUCAAGAAUUUACUUUAAAGAAUGUUUUCUAAGGAAAUCAGAACAUAUUCAAUAGUAAUAAAAAUAACUAUACUAUAUAUGAUUUUAAAAAUGGGAGCCACCUAAUGUUCAACAAUACAGGACUAGAUGAAUAAUUUUUUACAGUCAUAAAAUAGGAUGAUAAUUUUCAAAACUAUUUUAAAUAGAUAUUGAUAACAAAAUAACUGUUUUAUAUGUUUCUGAGUAAAAACCCAGUAUAUAGACAUGAACAUUUUUAUAUUAAAAACAAAUAAUAUGCACAUAUAUCUGUGCAUAUGCACACAGAGAAAGGUCUGAUUGGGUAUAAAUUAAAAUACCAUAUGUAAUGGGGUUUUAAUUGGUUUUAUUUUUAUUUUUAUUGUUUUCUCCCAAACUAUCCUUUUGCUCAUUUUUUUCUCCAUUCCUUCCAUUCUGUCUUUUUCCAGGCUCAAAGAGAAAAUGUCACCUUUUUCCUUGAAAUAGAGAUUGUAUAUCAAUAUCUUAAUAUACUUUCUAGCUGAGUGCACAUAUCCCAUCUCUUCUUAUUUGUAAUAAUCCAAAAAGGCACCUGAAAAAACAUCCUGGAACACCUGCAGUUAUACCUUGAAUGAUUUAAGCCUUACAAAACAUGAAAUUAAACUUGGCAUGAAGCAAAUUUUUUAAAUUUGACCUUUAAAAAUAAAAAAAUUUAGUUAACAAAGAAAGAAACUUUAUCAUUGAGCACAUAUGAAAAUUCUCUGCCCAAGAAACUGUGGAUUGCAUUACUUUGAACUGUAGGUACACAGUGGAUGAUUUAGAAAAUCAACAUCUCUCUUCAGCCAUUGUAUUAAAACCAAGGAAAUAAAAUCUCUAUAUCCUGAUUUCUAGCAUAAAAAUUUCUGAUUACUAGAAAAACUUUAUUCUACCUAGCUACUUCAAUUUGAAACAAAGUGAAUUAGACUACAUCUGUUUCUAAAUUGACUUUGUGUGAUCAAGUAGAUUAAUUUGAAAUGUUAAUCUAAUGAUUACUGAGAAGGAGGAUGAUUACAAACCACAGGAAAAUAGUCUUUUACUUUAAUGUUUCUUGUAAGCACAGAGAAUUUCAAAACCAGUAGCUACUUUACCAUUUAAUUUCUAUAAAUUGGUUUGAGUGUUUGUGUUGGAAACAAUAACGCAUUAUCAAGAGGAGUUAAGGAUGCUACAGUAGCUUACAAAUCAAGUGUGACUUUAGGAGAAGCAGCUCUAUACUCUUUCUGUUGAUCCAGAGUACUAAGCUGCUGAAAAGGAUGAGCGCAAUAUUGGUAUUGUUUACAUUCUUCUCUUGCUCUAAAUUUGGAAAACAGUCAAUAAACAUCAGCUGAGAUUUAAAGAGUUAUUUUCUCUAAUGCAUAUUAUAUUUCUUUGCAUUUUGUUUUUGAAAUAAGCAUUUGCCUAAUUAUUACUCUUGGAUCAUGGUAAGAUCAGUUUUGUGAUAUCAUGGACUACAAUCACAAAAUUUUUUGGUAGGAUGCUAUGCAUCUCUCUAACGUGGAACCACGAGGUCUACUUGUGAAAAGCUGCCCUUGCCCCUACUAUAAUCUGAGGCUGAGAUUGCUCCACUGUCUGUGAUACCGCAGUUUAUCUUCUAUGAGCUUUUAAGACCCACCCCACCCCCAACUGCAGAGGAUACAAGAGCCUUUUUCAACUUCCCUCCACUGUUACCUACAGCAGUUUGAUUUCUGCAGAUUCAGACACAAAUGCAGGUAUUGCUGCUUCUGCUGCUGAUAAUGACCAACAUUACCUUGUGCAGCAUUAGGUACAAAAGUGGCAAUAAACUAAAUCAGUCCAAUUCCAUCAUUUCUAUGAUACUUAAAAGAGAGACAUAAAGGUCCUGUGCUCUUCAGGUUAGGGAAACAUAGAAAUUCAUGUUCUACAUUUAUUAGUAGGAGGGGUCUUUUUUAUUAACGCUGUAGUUGAAAAUGUGAAUUUGUGUAUUUAAUAAGACAUGAUUGAGUUUGUAUGAAAACUAGUCAAAUGUAAUAGUUUGUAGUAUAAUGAGAGACCCUUCAUAUGAAUUGCUAGUUUUAGGCUAUUUUUAACAUAAAAAAUGAAUUUCAUUUCAUUCAUGUUCUUAUUAU
rnacentral:lncRNA from 1 species